UGUAAUCAUAAUUAUUUAUAAUUGUAUAUGUGUGUGUGUUGACAGGUGUCGGUUGGCCUCCUAGCCGGGUGUGCAAAUGUAGGCUGAUUUCUGUUUUUGUUUAUUUGUAGAGGUAAUACGUCCAGAGUGUACUGGCAGAGGUGUAUGGCCAGCAUUGCACCGGUUAAGCAUGUGUGGGAGUUUGAUAUGGAGCGCCAAGGUGUAAGUUACUGUAUUGAUUAAUCAUAUGUACUUAUAUUUAUGAUGAAUUUGGCAAUGUUAUAGUGGGAUAUACUGUAUGUUUGUAUUUGUAAUGGAGUUAGUGUUAUUGCUGUGUUGGGUACAAUGGACUGCUUACAUUUUAUAUUUGAUUUUACGAAUAUUGCUGUGUUGUUUUGCAUAUUUUAUUAGGAUUACAUUUUAAGUGUCUGUUUACAAUUUGGAGGUUUGUUUUAAUUUGGAAACUUGUUUACAGGCUGAAUGUUACUCAAUAAAGUAUUCAUGUGGCACUUGGUGACUGUAUCUACCCGAUCCAUACAAUUCAGCACCUGCUACCCAUGGUUGAGGGAACUUUGAUUGGACAUUCUACACAUCCCUGCUAGUCAAGAUGGAUCGAGCCAAGACAGUGCGUACAUCGGAGAGGAGGAAAUUCAACCGAACCCUGAAACUGUUCGACGAGAGUGUGAAGCAAGACGACUCGACAGAGAUUUUGAAGCCUGCAUUUGAUGAGAGGUAAUACGUCCAGAGUGUACUGGCAGAGGUGUAUGGCCAGCAUUGCACCGGUUAAGCAUGUGUGGGAGUUUGAUAUGGAGCGCCAAGGUGUAAGUUACUGUAUUGAUUAAUCAUAUGUACUUAUAUUUAUGAUGAAUUUGGCAAUGUUAUAGUGGGAUAUACUGUAUGUUUGUAUUUGUAAUGGAGUUAGUGUUAUUGCUGUGUUGGGUACAAUGGACUGCUUACAUUUUAUAUUUGAUUUUACGAAUAUUGCUGUGUUGUUUUGCAUAUUUUAUUAGGAUUACAUUUUAAGUGUCUGUUUACAAUUUGGAGGUUUGUUUUAAUUUGGAAACUUGUUUACAGGCUGAAUGUUACUCAAUAAAGUAUUCAUGUGGCA